ACACUCCACACGCGCUGGCAGAAAGGUCCUGAUGGAGGGAGAGGGAGGGAAACAGAAGUAGAGAGAGGACCAGGGAAAGCCCAUAAUGCUAAUUCCUGGUGACAUUUGUUGUGUGAAGAUUACUCACUGGCCCGUAGCCUGGCGUAGCACAACAGUGAUGGCUUUAAAGACAUGGAGUUGGCGCUGUCCCAGCCUCGACACCUCACCCACAAACUGUGCCUCCUGUCAACCCCCCCACGGGCACCUAUUGUGGUGAAUCAGUGACCGUACCGUUCCUUCUUUCUGCUCUUCACCAACAAAUGAUGAACUAAGUGGGAAAAAAGACAGAAUGGAAUGAAGAAGAAUAGAAGAUCCAGAGCAUGUUGGCUUUUGACUUUUGGAGUCAUUGUGGACAAUGCAAGUGCUGGACCAUCAUUUUCAAAAUACUGACAGGGUUCGUCAAACAUUUCAUUAUUGUGUUUCUUACAAUAUGUUGCUUGAAUGAAAAUAAAUGGAUGUUUUAAUAG
ensembl:processed_transcript